rnacentral:rRNA from 1 species
UUUUAUUUGAGAGUUUGAUCCUGGCUCAGGAUGAACGCUGGCGGCGUGCCUAACACAUGCAAGUUGAGCGAUUUACUUCGGUAAAGAGCGGCGGACGGGUGAGUAACGCGUGGGUAACCUACCCUGUACACACGGAUAACAUACCGAAAGGUAUGCUAAUACGGGAUAAUAUAUUUGAGAGGCAUCUCUUGAAUAUCAAAGGUGAGCCAGUACAGGAUGGACCCGCGUCUGAUUAGCUAGUUGGUAAGGUAACGGCUUACCAAGGCGACGAUCAGUAGCCGACCUGAGAGGGUGAUCGGCCACAUUGGAACUGAGACACGGUCCAAACUCCUACGGGAGGCAGCAGUGGGGAAUAUUGCACAAUGGGCGAAAGCCUGAUGCAGCAACGCCGCGUGAGUGAUGAAGGCCUUCGGGUCGUAAA